AUGAAAAAUAAAACAUGGCACCUAGUACCAUCAAGAAGUGGAAUGAAUGUUAUUGAUUGUAAAUGGGUGUACAAGAUAAAAAGGAAGUCAGAUGGAAGUAUAGACAGGUACAAGGCUAGAUUAGUUGCUAAAGGCUUUAAGCAAAGGUUUGGGAUUCACUAUGAGGAUACUUUUAGUCUAGUUGUUAAAUCAGCCACCAUUCGACUUGUCUUGUCUAUUGCUGUUUCCAGAGAUUGGAGCUUAAGACAGCUAGAUGUUCAGAACGCGUUUCUUCAUGGUGUUCUUGAGGAAGAGGUGUUCAUGCGGCAGCCGCCAAGUUAUGAAAACAAAGGUACACCACAUUAUGUUUGUAAGUUGGAUAAAGCUCUAUAUGGUUUAAAACAGGCGCCAAGAGCUUGGUAUUCACGAUUGAGCAUGCAACUACAACAACUUGGGUUUGUACCAUCCAAGGCAGACACAUCCUUGUUCUUUUACAAUAAAGGAAAUGUCACUAUUUUUGUGCUAGUUUAUGUUGAUGAUAUUAUUGUUGCUAGCUCGAGUUCAAGUGCCACUACUUGUUUGCUUAAAGAUCUUAAGUUGAAAUUUGCUCUCAAGGAUUUGGGAGAUCUUCAUUAUUUUCUUGGCAUUGAGGUCAAACAGAUAAGAGAUGGUAUACUUCUGACACAGGAAAAAUACACAGCUGACAUACUCAGGAGAGUAGGUUUGGAAAAAUGUAAACCUGUGAGUACACCUAUCUCAACUUCUGAAAAACUUGCUGUUGAAAGUGGAGAGCCACUUGGGUCAGAGGAUGCAACAAAUUACAGGAGUGUUGUGGGUGCCUUGCAAUAUUUGACACUUACACGCCCUGACAUUUCUUAUGCGGUCAACAAGGUAUGUCAGUAUUUACAUGCUCCUAGCACUACUCAUUGGACUGCAGUUAAGAGGAUUUUGAGGUACCUUAAGUUUUCAGAGGGACUUGGACUUCAAAUUACCAAGUCUUCUUCUAUGCUUGUUACUGCCUACUCUGAUGCAGACAUGGCAGUAUGUAUUGAUGAUAGAAGGUCAACUGGUGGAUUUGCUGUAUUUCUGGGAUCCAAUCUUGUGUCAUGGAGUGCAAGAAAGCAGGGUACAGUUUCUAGAUCAAGUACUGAGGCUGAAUACAAAGCUUUGGCAAAUGCCACAGCUGAAGUAAUGUGGAUACAGACACUGCUUUAUGAACUUGGAAUUAAGACUCCAAAAGCAGCCAGACUAUGGUGUGAUAAUAUUGGUGCAACCUAUCAGUCAGCUAAUCCUGUUUUUCAUGCACGCACAAAGCAUAUUGAAGUUGAUUGCCACUUUGUCAGAGAAAGAGUAGCUAGAAAGCUCCUCGAAAUUCAGCUCAUUCCUACCGGAGAUCAACUUGCUGAUGGAUUCACAAAGCCUCUCACUAUGAGGAGGUUAGAUGAGUUCAAGUACAAUCUCAACCUUGGUCGAAGUUCAUGA
rnacentral:rRNA from 1 species